GUACGUGGUGUGGAACGGGUAGAGCACCUC
rnacentral:antisense_RNA from 1 species